rnacentral:lncRNA from 1 species
CUCAGCAGGCAUCAGCAAAGGAGACAAGGAAUGCCAUCAAAGCUCAGCCUCAGGAGUCAACUGGGUGGGCUUGGCUGGGGAGGUGGCUGGAGCUUUCUCUGCUGGCCUCCGGAAGAAUAAGAUGAGUUGAUGGGGGACAAUUGAAAAUUAUCCCCAUCACUCCCCAACCCUGGUCUCUACCUCCUGCUGGCUUCCUUUAAUCCACUCUUUGUACAACUGUAUAGCAACCCAUCUGAAGUGUCACUGUAACUCAUCAGACCUUAAAUCCUCCAACAACUCUUACUACCUAAAACAGUGGUUUUCAACAGGACAAUCUUGCUCCCCAGUGUCCAGAGAUCUUUUUGGCUAUUAUGCAUCUGGAGAGAAGGAGGAUGGUGCUGGUAUCUAGUGGGUAGAGACCAAGGAUGCUGCUAACAUCCAAAUGAACAGGAAGUGCUCAUCCUGCCCCCACUUCCCAAGAAAGAAUUAUCCAAUCCCAAAUCAAAAGCAUCAAGGUUGUGAGAUUCUGGUCUACAGGACACACAUGUAAG